GAACGCUAGCGACAGGCCUAACACAUGCAAGUCAGGGGCAGCACAAGGAGCAAUCUGAGGUGGCGACCGGCGCACGGGUGAGUAACACGUAUGCAACCUGCCUGUAAGCGGGGAAUAACCCGUUGAAAGACGGACUAAUACCGCAUAAUACUAAAUUACUGCAUGGUAAUUUAUUUAAACAUUUAUGGCUUACAGAUGGGCAUGCGCAUGAUUGGCUAGUUGGAGAGGUAACGGCUCCCCAAGGCAACGAUCAUUAGGGGUUCUGAGAGGAAGGUCCCCCACACUGGUACUGAGACACGGACCAGACUCCUACGGGAGGCAGCAGUGAGGAAUAUUGGUCAAUGGACGAGAGUCUGAACCAGCCAAGUCGCGUGCAGGAAGAAUGUCCUUAAUGGAUUGUAAACUGCUUUUGCAGGGGAAUAAAGUGCAUCACGUGUGAUGUUUUGUAUGUACUCUGCGAAUAAGGAUCGGCUAACUCCGUGCCAGCAGCAGC
rnacentral:rRNA from 1 species